rnacentral:rRNA from 1 species
UACAGAGGGUGCGAGCGUUAAUCGGAAUCACUGGGCGUAAAGGGCGCGUAGGCGGCUUUAUAAGUCGGGGGUGAAAGCCUGUGGCUCAACCACAGAAUUGCCUUCGAUACUGUAGAGCUUGAGACCGGAAGAGGUAAGUGGAACUGCGAGUGUAGAGGUGAAAUUCGUAGAUAUUCGCAAGAACACCAGUGGCGAAGGCGGCUCACUGGCCCGGUACUGACGCUGAGGUGCGAAAGCGUGGGGAGCAAACAGG